rnacentral:rRNA from 1 species
UACGGAGGGUGCAAGCGUUAUCCGGAUUUACUGGGUUUAAAGGGUGCGUAGGUGGGCGAGAAAGUCAGUGGUGAAAUCUCCGGGCUUAACUCGGAACGGUCAAGUGAUACUGUCGGACUAGAGUACAGAAGGGGCAACUGGAAUUCUCGGUGUAGCGGUGAAAUGCGUAGAUAUCGAGAGGAACACCUGCGGCGAAGGCGGGUUGCUGGGCUGAUACUGACGCUGAUGCGCGAAAGCCAGGGGAGCGAACGGG